UGAAUCAUACUUAACUGCCUCCCAUCU
rnacentral:piRNA from 1 species